UGCCUGGCAGUUAGUGAUUAAUGUGGCAGUGCAUGGGUGUACUAAUACAUUGAUGGGACUGUGUUGGCAAAGACAUCCGGUCUGCCUCUGGGCACGUACUGAGGGGCAGCUGGCACAGUCAUCUCUGGUAGUUGGCAGAUGUGGAUUUGGGAGAGUAUAUCUGCUUGUGAGCAGCUGUUUGUAUAGUGCUUGAACGGUGUGCUUGAGGAGGUCUGUCGAAUCUUGAAAGCUUACAGAUACGGGGUUUUGAAACUUUUAUUUUUUAUUACUAUUCUGUCCCCAGUAGAGUGUAAACCUUUGGAGGAACCUUUCACGGUAAGAGCUCCUUCUGGAACUGUUCAUCAGUUGGUAGGCAACUCGGUGACUGUCUUGAUCUACUUCUGAGGUGCUGAGGUAUUGGGGCUUCUGUUUUGAAAUGAUAAUAUUGUAAAUGGGGUCCCUUUGUGUUGUUGAGGGAUGGGUGCUAAUGCUGGCAGGUGAAUGACUAUCUUGUGACUGUUUUCAUUUGUUGAAGGUGAAACACAGUGUACAACACGGGACUUGACCGGAGCUGCUUUUUGCAAGGUGCCAUGGCAGGCUCUCCACAGAAGAGGCUGAGGAUUUGAGAAGAGGUUGCAGCUCAUCAAGGAGCGACACGUGCAGGGAUGGCUUAAAAAUGGCAAAGAGCUGCCCGAAGCCCCGUCCUGUGUAACGUGAGCAUGCCUCUCUGAGUAUGAAGCUUGCUUUCCAGUAGUUCCCAAAACUGUGUUGAAGCUGAAAUGCUGCGUCUGUUUUUUUGUGUUGGGGUUGCACCUUGGUGAUUGGCUUCAGGGUCCAGGUGGGACCUAGUGGUAACUGAGUUGCAGGUAUGCCAUCAGAGAGCUCCUUCUGCCUGGGCCGCACUUUUGGUUCCAGUUACUGGCCUGGUCGUGUCGUCCUUUCAAUGUUAAAAGCUGCAGCAAAAGCG